GCGCAGCAGGCGAGAAACCUCCGCAAUGCGCGAAAGCGCGACGGGGCCACCCCGAGUGCCGCCCGCUGAGGGCGGCUUUUCCCCGGUGUAGACAGCCGGGGGAAUAAGGGGAGGGCAAGUCUGGUGUCAGCCGCCGCGGUAAUACCAGCUCCCCGAGUGGUGGGGACGAUUAUUGGGCCUAAAGCGUCCGUAGCCGGCCCGGCAAGUCUCCCGUUAAAUCCAGCGAUCUAAUCGCUGGACUGCGGGAGAUACUGUCGGGCUAGGGGGCGGGAGAGGCCGACGGUAUUCCCGGGGUAGGGGUGAAAUCCUAUAAUCCCGGGAGGACCACCAGUGGCGAAGGCUGCCGGCUGGAACGCGCCCGACGGUGAGGGACGAAAGCCGGGGGAGCGAACCGGAUUAGAUACCCCUGUAGU
rnacentral:rRNA from 1 species